UAACGCGUGGAUAACCUGCCUCACACUGGGGGAUAACAGUUAGAAAUGACUGCUAAUACCGCAUAAGCGCACAGUACCGCAUGGUACAGUGUGAAAAACUCCGGUGGUGUGAGAUGGAUCCGCGUCUGAUUAGCCAGUUGGCGGGGUAACGGCCCACCAAAGCGACGAUCAGUAGCCGACCUGAGAGGGUGACCGGCCACAUUGGGACUGAGACACGGCCCAA
rnacentral:rRNA from 1 species